CAGAGAACGCGGAACUCUUUCUGGGUUGUGCAUUUCUUAAAUAGAGUGUGCGCAUGGGACUCUAUGCAUGUUUGUGUGAUUAUGUGUGUGUGUGAGUGUGUGUGUAGUGGUGUGCAUGGGGAGAACAAUUGCCCUUACUUAUUAUUGAGUUUCUUGCAUAAAAUAAAUUGUCACUUAAGUGCUAAAGCAACGCCUUCUUGUGUUGAGAAUUGUAUUUUUCUUUUCUUGAUUUGCUUAAAUUUAAAAAUAAUUUUAUAUUGAAUUUUUUAAUUUUUUUGCUUUUGCUUAGAAUGCAGCUAUGCAUUUUUCCCAUUAGUUGAAUAUAGACACAAAAAGAAAGCAUAUAUAAAUAUAAAAAACUUAUAAAUACAUAUAU